UUUUUCUUUUUUUUGUUGAUGGGUCGAUGGUAUUUUGUUUUGAUCGUCGCGAAGUGUCGAUGCACGGCCGACAAUCAAUUAAAUCCGCUGGAAACUUGGAUACCUCGUGCACAAUUCGAUCAAACGGAUCUGAAGUGAAGGAACAUUAACCUGUUGAGAUCGAGUGCCGCUAGUCCCAACCGGGUGCUGCAUGUUAAGAUACAUCAACAACACAUUUGGAUGACUUUCGAGGACAUGUGGAGAACCUGAUGGUUCAAAUCUUAUUCCAAAAUAAAUUAAUACUAAUGCGGAUGUCGUGGAUCUCUCUACAUGGAACGCUAUCACCGGAUGCAUGAUUCGUUUUCAACGGAAAGGUUAAAUAGUGAUUAUGUCGACAAUUUUAAAAUAUCGGGAAGAAAAUUUUUAUACUUAUUCAUAUUGUAUAUGAUGUAAAAAUGUUUAAAAUAAAC